rnacentral:tRNA from 1 species
GCCUCGAUAGCUCAAUUGGUAGAGCAGCGGCCUCUUAAGCCGACGGUUGUAGGUUCGAGUCCUACUCGGGGUA